rnacentral:misc_RNA from 1 species
AUGGAGAAAGAACGGGCAUCAUUGUUCGUAAGGAUGGUGAUGCUUUUGCCACACGGGUGAGUAACACGUAGUUGACCUACCCUGAAAAGGUGGAUAACGUCUCGAAAGGGAUGCUAAUACACCAUAAGCACACGGAGGUUAGAGGCUCCGAGUGAAAAGAGGGAACUCGUUUCAGGAGGGGACUGCGGCCCAUCAGCUAGUUGGUGAGGUAGAAGCCCACCAAGGCGAAUACGGGUAGGGGGCCUGAGAUGGUGGUCCCCCACACCGGCACUGAGAGACUGGCCCUAUUCCUACGGGAGGCAGCAGUGGGACUCCUACGGGAGGCAAUCAGUAGGAUCUUGUGGAAAAACUCGGGCCUUCCAGUUAAUCUGGCGUGCGCUUUUUCCUAUAGUGAAUAGGUAUUACGCCCUCAUUGCAUAUCCUGAGUUACGGACAACAGUUUACAAUCCCUCCCAUUCUUUAUCAUCAUCACACCAGACCCCCACUCCAUUUUACUCUCCUUAACGUUUAACCUAAGCUAAUGCAUUCUUGCGCCCCCUCUGUGUUGUCUGUACUUUCCGAGUCGUGCUGUCACUACAGCUAAGUGUAGUGAUUGUAUUGCUUGGACGGCAAAAAAUCUUUUUUACUUUUUAUUUUUCAGACUGAUAGGUCUUAAAUAUAUUUUGUUUUGUUCAUCAUUUAUGUUCGUCAUUGUAGCUGAUUAGUUCUCUUGAGUCAAUAAUGGACAAAAUAUAAGAUUCGCCAACGGAACUAUUCAGUUUGUGUCUCAGGGAGAGUAUAG